rnacentral:rRNA from 2 species
UUGACCUCGAAUCAGGUAGGAAUACCCGCUGAACU